AGUGAACGCUGGCGGUAGGCCUAACACAUGCAAGUCGAACGGCAGCACAGUAAGAGCUUGCUCUUACGGGUGGCGAGUGGCGGACGGGUGAGGAAUACAUCGGAAUCUACUUUUUCGUGGGGGAUAACGUAGGGAAACUUACGCUAAUACCGCAUACGACCUACGGGUGAAAGCAGGGGAUCUUCGGACCUUGCGCGAUUGAAUGAGCCGAUGUCGGAUUAGCUAGUUGGCGGGGUAAAGGCCCACCAAGGCGACGAUCCGUAGCUGGUCUGAGAGGAUGAUCAGACACACUGGAACUGAGACACGGUCCAGACUCCUACGGGAGGCAGCAGUGGGGAAUAUUGGACAAUGGGCGCAAGCAUGAUACAGCCAUACCGAGUGGGUGAAGAAGGCCUUCGGGUUGUAAAGCCCUUUUGUUGGGAAAGAAAAGCAGCAGGUUAAUACCCCGCUGUUCUGACGGUACCCAAAGAAUAAGCACCGGCUAACUUCGUG
rnacentral:rRNA from 1 species